UUCGGUGGGUUCGGAAGGGAGGCAGAAGAAUCGGCAAGUGUCGAGAGGCUCCACACCUCUAAGGGUGAACACAGAUUACCUUACUAGCUCCGACACUUCUGAUGCUCUUCCACGUGUUGGCACACAAGAUGCCACACAGUUUGGGUUUUUCGAGAACUGUGGUAUGUUACAUCAGAGAUCUGGGACCUUAGACAGAAAAAGGACUGAUGGGCAGAUCAGAAGGGUAUAGACCAUAAAAUCCAGCGUUCCUUUUAAUACAGAACAUCAGUCUCGCCCAAGUGAAGUGUAUAAAAUCUGGUAAUGAGAGAUCGUUUUCCCCCUGAGGAUGUCCCAUGGUGGAUGGACUAUCUACAGUGCCCACUGCAUAUUCCAGCAGUAUAGUUGAGAGGGUAAGAUGGGAGUCAGCUGUCAGCCAAGGGACCACUCCUACUAAAGCUGGCCAUGCAGGGAGGUGGAGGAGCUCAUAAAAGCAGAG